AAUUAGUGAUCAAAUCACUAAUAAAACCUCUCAUAAUUAUUGAGUCCAAAUUCGAUGGGCAAUCGGGUAUCAAAGUCCAUCAAUAUGAAACCUUGAUCGAAGAGUUCAAAUUUCAAAUUCAAAAUUUAAAAUUCAAAAUUUUGACCCCGAUACCCAAAAUGUGUGAAACUCAUGAUCAGAGAAUCCUAAUUCUCAAUCAUAGAGUCCCAAACACAUAAGACUCAUAAUCAACCAUCAGAUCAGAAAGGAACCUCUAAUGUGUGUGACCCCGCAGGUUCGAACCUAAGCCGGUAGCACAGGAACCAAUUUCUGUACUAAUCGAAGUGACCAUCUAGCAAUGGUACCCGAUGAUCGGAUAGGUCGAAUAGUCACAAUCGCAACAUUC
rnacentral:lncRNA from 1 species